GUGAAUCAUCGAAUCUUUGAACGCACAUUGCGCCCCCUGGUAUUCCGGGGGGUAUGCCUGUCCGAGCGUCAUUGCAACCCUCAAGCGCGGCUUGUGUGAUGGGCGUCGUCCCCGCCAGCGGUGGACGUGCCCCGAAUGCAGUGAUCUGGGCCGCGAUUACGGCGCCUGAGCGAAUGGGAGAACCGCUAGCUCUAGUGGCCCGUCCGGUCCCUGGGUCCCCUGGACGUCUGACGUCCACCACCCAACGUUGACCUCGGAUCAGGUAGGGAUACCCGCUGAACUUAAGCAUAUCAAUAAGCGGAGGA
rnacentral:misc_RNA from 1 species